CACGAUGCAAGUCGAACGGAGCAUUUGAGUUACUAGGAUAGCUAGUGGCGACGGGUGAGUAACACGUGAGCAACCUGACCUUUGAGAGAGGGAUAGCUUCUGGAAACGGAUGGUAAUACCUCAUAACAUAUCGGGACCGCAUGAUUCUGAUAUCAAAGAUUUAUCACUCAAAGAUGGGCUCGCGUCUGAUUAGAUAGUUGGUGAGGUAACGGCUCACCAAGUCGACGAUCAGUAGCCGGACUGAGAGGUUGAACGGCCACAUUGGGACUGAGACAGGCCCAGACUCCUACGGGAGGCAGCAGUGGGGAAUAUUGCACAAUGGGGGAAACCCUGAUGCAGCGAUGCCGCGUGGAGGAAGAAGGUUUUCGGAUUGUAAACUCCUGUCUUAAAGGACGAUAAUGACGGUACUUUAGGAGGAAGCUCCGGCUAACUACGUGCCAGCAGCUGC
rnacentral:rRNA from 1 species